rnacentral:rRNA from 1 species
CGGACGGGUGAGUAACGCGUGAGAAUUCGCCUUUAGGAGGGGGAUAACGGAUGGAAACAUUCGCUAAAACCCCAUGUGCCCUCGGGUGAAAAAGAGAAAGUAAGUCAUACUGAUUUAUCUCUGCCUGAAGAGAAGCUCGCGGCUGAUUAGCUAGUUGGUAGGGUAAAGGCCUACCAAGGCGACGAUCAGUAGCUGGUCUGAGAGGACGAUCAGCCACACUGGAACUGAGACACGGUCCAGACUCCUACGGGAGGCAGCAGUGAGGAAUUUUCUGCAAUGGGCGAAAGCCUGACAGAGCAAUACCGCGUGGGGGAUGAAGACUUACUGAGUUGUAAACCUCGGUACCCUAAGGAAGAAGAUAUGACGGUACUUAGGGUGGAAAGCAUCGGCUAACUCCGUGCCAGCAGCCGCGGUAAGACGGGGGAUGCAAGUGUUAUCCGGAUUUACUGGGCGUAAAGCGUCUGCAGGUGGUUUCUUAAGUCUACUGUUAAAUCUUGAGGCUCAACCUCAAAUCUGCAGUAGAAACUAGGAGACUUGAGUAUAGUAGGGGUAGAGGGAAUUUCCAGUGGAGCGGUGAAAUGCGUAGAUAUUGGAAAGAACACCGAUGGCGAAGGCACUCUACUGGGCUAUUACUGACACUCAGAGACGAAAGCUAGGGGAGCAAAUGGGAUUARAUACC